AUAUGUGCCUACUGAAUAUUUAAAAUAUGGCUAGUGUGACUGGGAGCUGAAGUUUCCAUUUUAUUUAGACUUAACUAGCUCAAAUUUAAAUAGCCACAUGUAACUUAUGGCUUGGUAUUGGACAGCAUAGAACAUCUAUAGAAAAUCAAAAGCAGUGGGUAAAAAAUGAGGAAUCAGAAGAAGUAUUUCAGAAAUGUGAACUAUUGUCAGCUGUGAAGGUUCCAAGUGCCUUCUAGAUGGCGUAUUUAUACCUCAAAUCUCUGGAACUGGGUAGCAGAAGACAUUGCCUGGGGACUAUAUAAUUCAGCUCUGAUGGGGAUAUACAAUGACAAACAGAGGUAAAGUUAACCUCUACCUGUGGUUCAGGAGGAGGAGCGCCCCCUGCCUUCUGUCCCUAACCUGCUCAGAACAUCAUUGACAAUGAGCUGUCCAUGCUUGAGAAGAUCUGCAGAGCCAUGAAAAUAAAGAGAACUUCACGUAUGUGUGGCUGUUGCUGGUUGUUACCAAGGUUGGAUCCUUAGGACACAGGUUUUCUUUUUUAAUGACAGGAGGAAGACUGCACACCUUCAAACUUAAGGAAGAGUGGUCUACGUUUCUGUUUUGAUAGUUCACUAGGUUAGAGCCCUAGUCUGAUUAAAGGAAGGCAAUGGGUUUCCUUAUGUGCGCAAACUGAGGGCCCAGUAGAGGAAGGUUUGGGUUUUGCAGCGUGGGUGACCAGCAGCAGAGCCCUGCAGCUCUGUAGGCAAAUCUCUGACCUCCCCAGAUUCUUCCAUCAGUAACAGGGCAUGGCCACCCUCUGGUGGAUAAAUACAAAGCCAUGUUCUGGUUCCCCAAAGCUCACUCAGGGAAGUGAGGGAGCUCUGGAUGGGACAGUUCCCAAGACCAGCCUCUACCUGCUGUGGUUCAGGUUCCUAUCUGAUAUGGUUAGACUUUGUGUCCCUGCCUAAAUUUCAUCUUGAAUUGUAAUCUCCAGGUGUUAAGGGAGAGACCUGUUGGGAGGUGAUUGGAUCAUGGGGGCAGUUUCCCCCAUGCAGUUCUUGUGAUAGCGAUGGAGUUAUCAUGAGA
rnacentral:lncRNA from 1 species